rnacentral:rRNA from 1 species
AUGAAUGCUGGCGGCGUGUCUAAGGCAUGCAAGUCGAGUGCACUUCGGGUGCACGGCAGACGGGAGCGUAACACAUUGGUAAUCCACCCCUAAGAGAAGCAUAACCCUCCGAAAGGAGGGCUAAUACUUCAUGUGCUCCGCAUCUAAAUGGGUGCGGAGUAAAGGUUUACUGCUUAGGGAGGAGCCUAUGUCCUAUCAGCUAGUUGGUGAGGUAAAAGCUCACCAAGGCUAUGACGGGUACCGGGUGUGAGAGCAUGACCCGGCUAAAGGGGAAUGAGACACUGCCCAUACGUCUACGGAAGGCUGCAGUCGAGAAUAUUCAACAAUGGCCGCAAGGCUGAUGGAGCGACGCCGCGUGUAGGACGAAGCCCUUAGGGGUGUAAACGACUUUUUGUAGGGAAGAACAAAUGACGGUACCUAAAGAAUAAGAGGCUGCUAACUUCGU